UUGAACGCUGGCGGAAUGCUUUACACAUGCAAGUCGAGCGGCAGCGCGGGGCAACCUGGCGGCGAGCGGCGAACGGGUGAGUAAUAUAUCGGAACGUACCCUGUCGUGGGGGAUAACACAUCGAACGACGUGCUAAUACCGCAUACGACCUGAGGGUGAAAGCGGGGGAUCGCAAGACCUCGCGCGAUAGGAGCGGCCGAUAUCGGAUUAGCUAGUUGGUGAGGUAAAGGCUCACCAAGGCGACGAUCAGUAGCGGGGCUGAGAGGAUGAUCCGUCACACUGGAACUGAGACACGGUCCAGACUCCUACGGGAGGCAGCAGUGGGGAAUUUUGGACAAUGGGGGCAACCCUGAUCCAGCCAUUCCGCGUGAGUGAAGAAGGCCUUCGGGUUGUAAAGCUCGUUCAGCCGGAACGAAACGGUACGCUCUAACAUAGCGUGCUAAUGACGGUACCGGCAGAAGAAGCACCGGCUAACUACGU
rnacentral:rRNA from 1 species